rnacentral:rRNA from 1 species
UACGAAGGGGGCUAGCGUUGCUCGGAAUCACUGGGCGUAAAGCGCACGUAGGCGGAUUGUUAAGUCAGGGGUGAAAUCCUGGAGCUCAACUCCAGAACUGCCUUGAUACUGGCGAUCUCGAGUCCGGGAGAGGUGAGUGGAACUGCGAGUGUAGAGGUGAAAUUCGUAGAUAUUCGCAAGAACACCAGUGGCGAAGGCGGACUCACUGGCCCGGUACG